rnacentral:rRNA from 1 species
UACGUAGGGGCCUAGCGUUGUCCGGAAUUAUUGGGCGUAAAGAGCUCGUAGGCGGUUCGGCAAGUCGGAUGUGAAAUCUCCACGCUUAACGUGGAGGGGCCAUUCGAAACUGCUGUGACUCGAGUCCGGUAGGGGAGUGUGGAAUUCCCGGUGUAGCGGUGAAAUGCGCAGAUAUCGGGAGGAACACCAGUAGCGAAGGCGGACACUCUGGGCC